CCUACGGGAGGCAGCAGUGAGGAAUAUUGGUCAAUGGGCGCGAGCCUGAACCAGCAACGUAGCGUGAAGGAUGACUGCCCUACGGGUUGUAGACUUCUUUUAUAAAGGAAUAAAGUGAGGCACGUGUGCCUUUUUGUCUGUACUUUAUGAAUAAGGCUCGGCUAACUCCGUGCCAGCAGCCGCGGUAAUACGGAGGAACCGAGCGUUAUCCGGAUUUAUUGGGUUUAAAGGGAGCGUAGAUGGUUUGUUAAGUCAGUUGUGAAAGUUUGCGGCUCAACCGUAAAAUUGCAAUGGAUACUGGCAGUCUUGAGUACAGUUGAGGUAGGCGGAAUUCGUGGUGUAGCGGUGAAAUGCUUAGAUAUCACGAAGAACUCCGAUUGCGAAGGCAGCUUACUAAACUGCCACUGACAUUGAGGCUCGAAAGUGUGGGUAUCAAACAGGAUUAGAUACCCUUGUAGUC
rnacentral:rRNA from 1 species